UACGUAGGGGGCUAGCGUUGUCCGGAUUUAUUGGGCGUAAAGAGCGUGUAGGCGGCCAGGUAGGUCUGGUGUGAAAACUCGAGGCUUAACCUCGAGAUGUCAUCGGAAACCAUUUGGCUAGAGUCCGGAAGAGGAGAGUGGAAUUCCUGGUGUAGCGGUGAAAUGCGCAGAUAUCAGGAAGAACACCAAUGGCGAAAGCAGCUCUCUGGGACGGUACUGACGCUGAGACGCGAAAAGCGUGGGGGAGCGAACAGGG
rnacentral:rRNA from 1 species